rnacentral:lncRNA from 1 species
UGAUAUUCCUUAUGGCAAAACUUAAUCUCUUCUUCUGUAUCUCUUGUUUAAGGGUGAAGGAGACCAUAAGAGCCUCAAAGAGACCAAUGAGAGUCUCAAGGAAGUAAAAGUUGACAAGGAAAGGAUUCAGUACAAGUCAUGAAGAACUAAGAAAGUGAAGAGUAGAGCCGGUUAUAUUUGAAGUCAUAAGGUCCAUUUAGACGAUCCAACCAAGUCAAAACUCAAGACAACACGAAGAAGAAAUCUGGCCAGCGAACUCAAGUGGUUGUUAGAAAGGAAGUGACAUUGGUGGACGAUCAAAUUAGAGAAGAAAUCUGGUGGGAAUGCUGAAUCAAGCUCACGCAUUCAAGUGUCAAAGUCAUGGAGCUCAAGAUUGAAUGUACACA